AGGAACUUCCGGCGACAUCGUUAUUAAAUAAAGACACAGGUGAACUGUCUCUGAAAAAUGUCUCUGAGGAGUACUCUGGUACAUACAGUUGUGUGGCUGCAAACAGAAUUGGCACUGAUGACUGUUUCGUUGUGCUAAAUGUCACUCCCCCUAUAAAUACAGCUGGCACAAUUGCUGGAGCAGUUAUUGGAACUCUUCUGGGUCUCUUUUUAUUGGCCUUUCUUGUCUUCUGUUGCUGUAAGAAAUGUAAAGAGAAAAAAUAUGAAAAAGAAGUGCAUCAUGAGAUUAG